rnacentral:rRNA from 1 species
CUGAGAGGGUGAUCGGCCACAUUGGAACUGAGACACGGUCCAAACUCCUACGGGAGGCAGCAGUGGGGAAUAUUGCACAAUGGGCGAAAGCCUGAUGCAGCAACGGCGCGUGAGUGAUGAAGGCCUUCGGGUCGUAAAACUCUGUCCUCAAGGAAGAUAAUGACGGUACUUGAGGAGGAAGCCCCGGCUAACUACGUGCCAGCAGCCGCGGUAAUACGUAGGGGGCUAGCGUUAUCCGGAUUUACUGGGCGUGAAGGGUGCGUAGGCGGUCUUUCAAGUCAGGAGUGAAAGGCUACGGCUCAACCGUAGUAAGCUCUUGAAACUGGGAGACUUGAGUGCAGGAGAGGAGAGUGGAAUUCCUAGUGUAGCGGUGAAAUGCGUAGAUAUUAGGAGGAACACCAGUUGCGAAGGCGGCUCUCUGGACUGUAACUGACGCUGAGGCACGAAAGCGUGGGGAGCAAACAGGAUUAGAUACCCUGGUAGUCCACGCUGUAAACGAUGAGUACUAGGUGUCGGGGGUUAC